rnacentral:lncRNA from 1 species
UGUGCAUAUGCCGUGGGAAACGCUUUUGGAACAAGUUGGAUUGCUCCGAAUUUCAGUGCCUAUCGGGCAGCCAGUGAACAUUUGUCCAUCUUUAAGGCAUUAAACUGAGAAGAACCACUGAGGAAAGCAUGCCACAGUCUUUCCCAAAAUCCCUGUGUCUUAAGGAACAACCAAGAAGUUAACUGGUCAGGGAAAAGAUUUCUUUUGGAACACAGAAGCCAUCGCUGUGUGCGGAAAUCCAUGACCUGGCCAUGACUUCUACAACCCGGAGGACUUGCCUGGCAUUACCGAAAAGCACAGGGGAAAGAUUCUGUGGCAGGUGCCGCAUUUCAUCCAGCUCACUCCGUGCUAGUUCCUAAGACAUCUUAAUUCUUACACAUAUGCAUAAUCGUGAUAUUUUGCCAUGAAUAACAAUAUAUUUCACAAUUAUCAACCAUUUUAAUUUUUAGCUUUCUAACCUCGGACUACUAUAAUAAAAAGAAAUAAUAAAUCCAAAAGUAGUAGUGGAAAAAAUAAGUAUCUCCAGGUUUGUUCCUGUAAAGUUAAUUAGUUCAAAACAGAGUGAGGACUCUAAGAGUUUGGGGUUUUUUUGUGUGUGUGUGUUAAGUAUCAGCAUUAAGUAUCUUCAAGACAAUUCAAAGUAAGAUGAUAAGUCACUAGGUUGUAAAUUUCACAAAAAAUCAUUAAAUACACUGUGUCGGACUACAGCGGAACAGUGGGAAGAACAUUCAGUAUUUGAGAGUAAACAACUCAAAUUAAGUUGUUUAGGAAUCUCACAGACAGGAAAAUUUUUCCUCUCUGGUUUUCCAUGGUAGCAUGUUUACAGUACUUGAAAAAUGUUGCUUUCAAGUCAUGUUAACUGCUUCUUAAGACCAUCAAAUAAGAAAUGAUAUAGCUUAUUAGUUCCAAAAUAGAAAAUCCUAUAACAUCAUUUCCUCUUCAUGUUAAGGUUAACUUCCAUUAUAAAUAUAUGCUUUCAGUAUAAAAUGCUCGACCUCAAAAGAUACCAGCUUUUGCGUUUUGAACUAUAAUCGUGAUCCAUAAAUGGUGAUAGAGCUUCAGCUACAUCUCAAACAUUUAUGUUCCACUCUCUUUAUCAAAGAGCGAUUUAUUUUCAGAGAAACAUUUAUCAAUUUAAGGUGUCUGAAAUAUUCAUUUUUUAAAAAGGGCUAUAAACAAGUAGCAAGAUGAAUAAUCUGGUUUUCUGUGGGUUAAGUUACAUAUCAAAAAAUCCUAAAAUUUUUCAUCAUUUUGAUGCACUAUUCUUAAUUUUUAAAAACUCAUUGUCUGAAAGCAAGACAGAUAUUUUAAUGCUAAUAUGUAAAAAUAAACCGGAUUUACGGUCUUGGGUCUCUGUCGUUGCCUAUAUAUCUAGAUGUCUACAAAAAUAUUCCAGAUUUUCUGCUUUUCUUAAUCUCAAAUGUUCAAAAUGACUACAUUUUCUAGAAUAUUUACCUAUUAGCUGAUGUUAUUGUUAAAAAGAAAAUCAGACUAAUUUUGGCAGUAUUGUGCCUUACUACAAAUCCUGUCUUUACUGUGAGAGUGGAGAAAAAUAAAAUUUGCAGAAUUCCAGUCUCUAGCCAUUGGCAUUUUCCGGGCUUUCUUGUUUUCUAUAUAUUGAGUCCCCUGUGCGUAUGGGAAGCUCAGCUGAGGACUAAUGCAAACUAUUUUCCCACAAGCCAACAUGUCGUCACUACAAAUAUACCUAAAAAUAAAAAUAAAUAACAUGUAAAA